CAGUAGCCGCGGUAAUACGUAGGGUGCGAGCGUUAAUCGGAAUUACUGGGCGUAAAGCGCGUGUAGGCGGCUCGGCACGUCGGACGCUGAAAUCCCCCGGCUCAACCGGGGAAGUGGCGCCGAUACGGCCGGGCUGGAGGGGGGUAGGGGGGUCUGGAACUUCCGGUGGAGCGGUGAAAUGCGUUGAGAUCGGAAGGAACGCCCGUGGCGAAAGCGAGGCCCUGGACCCUUACUGGCGCUGAGACGCGAAAGCCAGGGGAGCGAACGGGAUUAGAUACCCGUGUAGUCCCUGUCUCUUAUA
rnacentral:rRNA from 1 species